AGGCAACAGGACACAGCUCCGGGCGCCGGCGUAGAAUCUGAGCUGCAGCCUGUCUACCCUGGUCACACCCUGCUUCGAGUUUCUCUUCCUCCUUUGCCCCCGGUUUGGGCUCUGACUGGUGGAAUUGUUCCAGGAAGUUGACAAAACAUCCUAGGCUUUUGUAAUCACCUGUUAACCUUUCCCAGCUCUGGAUCAGAAGCAGCAACUUCCAUGAGUUGUGACGCAGAGCAGACAAUUCUAUUAGCUGGUGUUAGUUUCCAAUGGUAUAGCCCCUUGGAACUUUUCUCCAAAGAAUCGUGGCCCUCACCGUCCGCAGUGCCUGACAUUAGGAUCUCUACUCAGCCAGAAAAAUAAAUCCACCCCCGUGCCUUUGUCAAAGACAAAGCAGGACAGUAAAGCGGUUGAGACAGGUUUUAACCAGUAAUAUACUAAUGGAAUAAGGAGGAGUCCAGCACGAACUGAACUCAACUUUGAUUUGUACAAAUGUUACUCAGACUUUAAAGGAAAAAUGGGGAAAUAGGGAAGGGGAGAGGAAUGAGGGGGCGCUCAGAAGAGUGAGGGAAGUGAAAGAUUACAAAAAGUGCGAAGUAGGGGUUAGUCCAUGUGAAACCCAUCUGGGUUUGUUAAAGGGUGUUUCUGGAAGUUAGGCUUUUAUCCUCCUACAGAUGCUGGGAGAUAGGAGCCAUAUCUUAAGGUGUUGGCUGGAACAGUAAAUUCCUUUGGCAGCCUGAGUUUUUUUAGGCAGGCCCUUUAAAGCGGGGCUGGAGUCAUCCUAGAGAUGCUACCUUGAACUGUUAGAGACUGUGUUAGAGUUUUGUUCAAGUCUGUUGAGGCCUAGUCCACAAAUGGCUCAGAGGAACCUGGCUAGAGUUUGGUCAAGGAGAGAAUUUUUGUUACUCCGCAUAUUCUGCACAUUAUUCUGUGUGAGGUGUUGUAUUUUACGUACCCUGAAGUUUGAAUUAUUGCAUAUAUGUUGGAAAAGAACUGAAUUCUCAGUACAUAUUAUUUAUAUCCUUAUUUAUUUUAAACAAUUUAGGUUUAUUUACAAACAAGUUUCAUAUAAUGUUAUAGAACCUGCAAAUACAGAUGCUCUCUAUAGGCCAAAUUGUUUCACAGCACCUUCCAAAGAGGCAGUCAGUCAUUUGCUAAGGUUAAGGUUGAAGCUGUAUAGGAGGUGAUGCCCAAUUCCUCAAAGAAAACAAUAAACAGAAGAACUAGCA